GGAGUGACAUCAAGAGAAGUAAGGUCAUCAGUCUCAAUGUAAACAGACUGGGGAGUGACAUCAAGAGAAGUAAGGUCAUCAGUCUCAAUGUAAACGGACUGGGGAGUGACAUCAAGAGAAGUAAGGUCAUAAGUCUCAAUGUAAACGGACUGGGGAGUGACAUCAAGAGAAGUAAGGUCAUAAGUCUCAAUGUAAACGGACUGGGGAGUGACAUCAAGAGAAGUAAGGUCAUAAGUCUCAAUGUAAACGGACUGGGGAGUGACAUCAAGAGAAGUAAGGUCAUAAGUCUCAAUGUAAACGGAC